rnacentral:rRNA from 1 species
UACGUAGGGGGCAAGUGGUAUCCGGAUUUACUGGGUGUAAAGGGAGCGUAGGUGGUUUGGUAAGUCAGAAGUGAAAGCCCAGGGCUCAACCCUGGGACUGCUUUUGAAACUAUCAAACUAGAGUGCAGGAGAGGUAAGUGGAAUUCCUAGUGUAGCGGUGAAAUGCGUAGAUAUUAGGAGGAACACCAGUGGCGAAGGCGACUUACUGGACUGUAACUGACACUGAGGCUCGAAAGCGUGGGGAGCAAACAGG